rnacentral:rRNA from 1 species
GAUGAACGCUAGCUACAGGCUUAACACAUGCAAGUCGAACGAAGCAGCUUUCUUCGGAAAGGUGACUGAGUGGCGGACGGGUGAGUAACGCGUGGGUAACCUGCCCUAUACAGGGAGAUAACAGUUAGAAAUGACUGCUAAUACCGCAUAAGCGCACAGUGCUGCAUGGCACAGUGUGAAAAACUCCGGUGGUAUAGGAUGGACCCGCGUCUGAUUAGCUAGUUGGCAGGGUAACGGCCUACCAAGGCGACGAUCAGUAGCCGGCUUGAGAGAGUGGACGGCCACAUUGGGACUGAGACACGGCCCAG